rnacentral:rRNA from 1 species
GCGUUCUGUAAGCCUGUGAAGGUGGCCUGUGAGGGUUGCUGGAGGUAUCAGAAGUGCGAAUGCUGACAUAAGUAACGAUAAAGCGGGUGAAAAGCCCGCUCGCCGGAAGACCAAGGGUUCCUGUCCAACGUUAAUCGGGGCAGGGUGAGUCGACCCCUAAGGCGAGGCCGAAAGGCGUAGUCGAUGGGAAACAGGUUAAUAUUCCUGUACUUGGUGUUACUGCGAAGGGGGGACGGAGAAGGCUAUGUUGGCCGGGCGACGGUUGUCCCGGUUUAAGCGUGUAGGCUGGUUUUCCAGGCAAAUCCGGAAAACCAAGGCUGAGGCGUGAUGACGAGGCACUACGGUGCUGAAGCGACAAAUGCCCUGCUUCCAGGAAAAGCCUCUAAGCAUCAGGUAACAUCAAAUCGUACCCCAAACCGACACAGGUGGUCAGGUAGAGAAUACCAAGGCGCUUGAGAGAACUCGGGUGAAGGAACUAGGCAAAAUGGUGCCGUAACUUCGGGAGAAGGCACGCUGAUAUGUAGGUGAAGCGACUUGCUCGUGGAGCUGAAAUCAGUCGAAGAUACCAGCUGGCUGCAACUGUUUAUUAAAAACACAGCACUGUGCAAACACGA